rnacentral:rRNA from 1 species
ACGGAAGGCAGCAGUGGGGAAUAUUGGGCAAUGGGCGAAAGCCUGACCCAGCAACGCCGCGUGAAGGAAGAAGGUCUUCGGAUUGUAAACUUCUUUUAUGAGGGACGAAGGACGUGACGGUACCUCAUGAAUAAGCCACGGCUAACUACGUGCCAGCAGCCGCGGUAAUACGUAGGUGGCAAGCGUUAUCCGGAUUUACUGGGUGUAAAGGGCGCGUAGGCGGGGAGCAAGUCAGGUGUGAAAUCUAUGGGCUUAACUCAUAAACUGCACUUGAAACUGUAUCUCUUGAGUGCUGGAGAGGUAGAUGGAAUUCCUUGUGUAGCGGUGAAAUGCGUAGAUAUAAGGAAGAACACCAGUGGCGGAGGCGGCUUACUGGACUGACAAUGACGCUGAGGCUCGAAAGCGUGGGGAGCAAACAGGAUUAGAUACCCUGGUA